UAUUCCUUCUGAACCACCCCUUACAAUAUCUGAAAGUAGACCAAAUUGCCAGUGGCCAACAAAUGGUGAAAUUGAGCUUCGUAGCCUCCAUGUACGAUAUGCAACACAUCUGCCUUUUGUUCUGAAAGGCCUGACAUGCACUUUGCCGGAAAGAAUGAAGACUGGUAUUGUCGGAAGAACAGGCAAUGGCAAGUCUACCUUGAUCCAAGCACUGUUCCGCAUUGUCGACCCAUGUGUUGGGCAAGUGUUGAUAGAUGGCCUUGACAUCUGCACCAUUGGACUCCAUGACCUACGAACAAGACUGAGUAUCAUUCCACAAGAUCCUGUGAUGUUUGAGGGGAGUAUAGCGAUGAGAAAAUCUGGGAGAGUUCACUUGGGUGUGUGUUAUCCAAGCAUUGGACUCUUGUCAUCUCGGCGAUGAAGUUAGAAGGAACGAGCUUAAGCUUGAUGCUGCAGUUACAGAAAAUGGCGGCAACUGGAGUGUGGGUCAGAGGCAACUUGUUUGUUUGGGGAGGGUGGUUUUAAAGAAAAGAAGGGUUUUGGUUUUGGACGAAGCAACUUCUUCAGUGGAUCCAAUAACUGACAAUCUGAUCCAGCAAACCAUAAAGAGACUAUUUUUCGAAUGCACGGUGAUUACAAUAGCACAUCGUAUUACAUCGGUUCUUGAUAGUGAAAAGGUCAUUCUCCUAGACAACGGUGAAAUUGCAGAGCAAGGCUCGCCAGCAAAACUCCUGGAAGACAGCACAUCACUAUUUUUCAAGCUUGUAUCAGAAUAUACUAUGGGAUCAUAUUAGAAGUACCUGAUGCAAUAGUGACCAGGUCUUAUUAUCGACUCGACAGCAUAUACGGAAUUCCCCAUUAACAGUUUUAUGUUGUUAAUCCUAUUGUCAUAGUCAAACUAAGAAAUAAAUAA